GGGGGGUAGAGGCUAGUUGAGUUACCGCAGGGCGAGGUAGAGGCUAUUUUGUGCCUCUACAUUAAGUGCCAAGGUGUACAGUAGGGUCUGGGGUUAGAGAACGUGCAUUGGUGCAGGGUCCAUGUCAGUAAAUGUUCUAUAUUCAGACCCCUGGUGAUAACAUGUCCUAUAGCUGCCCUUCUCAGAAUCAUUUCAACCUCGACGAUGACCACCAUGCAGUCAUCCAACAAUAUAGAAAUCAGAAUAGUGGGGCUUACUUAUUUCAACCUGUUCAGAACACAAAACACAUAUUACCAGAUGAGAGAAACAAUAGACAGUCACACAGUCCUGGACAAAGAGAGGAGGCAUAUUGUGCGUAUUUACAGUAGAGUUGCAUUGAGCAGGUGAUACUGGAACUAUCCUGAGGGGUGUACUGUAGGUGUGGUGGAUAGAUUAGGCUUUACAUAGGGAGAGACUGUUCCAGACUGGCAAAAACCCUAGAGAUGCAGAGAGAGCUGGAGGGAGGGAGAGAGAGGGGUGGUGGGGUGCAGAACACACCCACAGCCAGUGAACAGAAUGUUUCAUAACCAGGGGUGACUGGUGUGUCUGUGUUCCAGAGUGUAGAAGAAUAGAAUAGAGAAAAAUCAGGAGCUGAGAGAACACCCCCUGGUGUUGGUAGUGUUGAUGUCACUAUAGGAGGAGCUCUCUGGACAGGAGCUCUCUGUCCACUCACACCCAGUCCAACCCUGGUCUUCUCUUCCUUUCCUCCUCUACUCCUCUGGGAUUGACCUGACCCCUAUUCCUCUCAUCUCCCAUUUCUAUCAUUUCUUCCUCCUGUCCUCCGUGUGGAGCAGUGCCACAGAGCCAUGCACCCCCAGCGUCCUCUCCCCCAGGCCAUGCCCUCCUCCCUCGGGCAGAACCUGCGUGACAUGGCCAUGGGCCUAGGCAGAGGGAAGAACUUCCUUGGUGGGAACAUUGCCUACGGCUUCAUCCAGUCCCUCAAGGAGUGCCUCUACUUCGUACUCUGCUGCUGGUGCAUCAAGGAGAUACUGGACUGACUGACUGAGACACUACGAGAGGGAGAGAGGGGCACGAGGGUGAGGUUCUCUUUCUCCUCUGUUUUUCUCUCACCAGCUAAGAUGUUAAACACAGCGUGUGAAGCGGUUGCCCAUGAUGCAGUUCUGUAUUCCUGUCUGGAGGCUUGGGAAACUGAUGUGCUGCCUGGUGUAUCAGAGGAUCUCUGUCAUUCUCGGAUCCUGAGUCAGUCGGUCUGGAGACCUGCAGUGUGUGUGUGUGUGUGUGUGUGUGUGUGUGUGAAGCAUCAUCUUAACACGAAUCUGCUGAUCCUAGACCUGUGGAGAAACCAAACCUGUGAGGCAAUGGACAUGGCUUUUGAUGCUGCUUAGGUCACAUUUAAUUCCAAGUUUUAUUCAUUUCUGUACAGUCUUAAUAUGCAAGGAAUAAACAAUGUAAUAUCUGAUUUG